rnacentral:lncRNA from 1 species
UCGGUCCAGUGUUUGCGCGCGCCCCUGGGUCUCGGGCGCCGAGGGCGGCCCCGGGGCGGUGUCGUUCCCCGGUCCCGGGCUCGAGGCGUCGUGGCGGCUGCGGCCGACCGGGCGGCGUUCGGUGGGUUCCCUCCGGCGCCGCCCGGCCCCGCCGGUACCCCGGCGGUCGUCCCGGACGCCGUCGGCGGCCCGUGCGCAUGCCGAGUCCCCCCGCGGCGGGGGGUUUUCGAGCGAGAGAGGAAUGCUGCUCGAAGUGCUUGACCACGAUCCCGCCGCCCCGGCGCGGUCGUGCCCCCGCCGCUGCAUGUGCGGGCUUCGG